rfam:Salmo salar isolate Sally breed double haploid chromosome ssa22, whole genome shotgun sequence.
ACCAAGGAGACUAACGCACGCGCAAGUCAGAGUGUUUUCUCCGACACACCCCGUGGCGCAAUGAAAGUGAGGGCCGGCGCGCGCUGGCUGAGGUGGGAUCCCGGCCCUACGGGGUUGGGCGCACCACCGGCCCGUCUCGCCCGCUCUGUCGGGGAGGUGGAGCGUGAGCGUGUGCGAUAGGACCCGAAAGAUGAUGAACUAUGCAUGGGCGGUCCUGACGUGCAAAUCGGUUGUCCGAUCACCGCGGUGAGCACGGAAGCUGGGCGGGAAACCCGAGAGAGGGGCCCAAGCCCUGGAAAGAGUCGCAGUUCCGGCGGCGUCCGGUGAGCUCUUGCUGGCCCUUGAAAAUCCGUAAGAGAGGGUGUAAAUCUCACGUCGGGCCGUACCCAUAUCCGCAGCAGGUCUCCAAGGGCAACAUCCUCUGGCA